rnacentral:rRNA from 1 species
AUUGAACGCUGGCGGCAGGCCUAACACAUGCAAGUCGAACGAGUGGCGGACGGGUGAGUAAUGUCUGGGAAACUGCCCGAGGGAGGGGGAUCACUACUGGAAACAGUAGCUAAUACCGCAUCCCAUCGGAUGUGCCCAGAUGGGAUUAGAUAGUAGGUGGGGUAACGGCUCACCUAGGCGACGCUCCCUCGCUGGUCUGAGAGUAUGACCAGCCACACUGGAACUGAGACACGGUCCAGACUCCUACGGGAGGCAGCAGUGGGGAAUAUUGCACAAUGGGCGCAAGCCGGAUGCAGCGAUGCCGCGUGUAUGAAGAAGGCCUUCGGGUUGUAAAGUACUUUCAGCGAGGAGGCGUUACUCGCAGAAGAAGCACCGGCUAACUCCGUGCCAGCAGCCGCGGUAAUAC